rnacentral:lncRNA from 1 species
AUAAGAUAGAGCCAUACUGCAGGUUGUUUCAGGUCCUAAAUAAGCACGGACACUUAAAAAAUCUGUUGGGCAGGCGGAUUUGCAUCGCUUACAACCCACACAAUCUUCGGUUCUCGGCGCAGAAGCAAUUUGCUUGGAUUUACAUCCAUCCCAAGGUAUCAUUUCUAAUACAUCUGAUGGACAAGCUCGUACACAUUGAGUGCAUCCUAUACAUGUAUCAUAAAUUUUUACGGAAUGUGACAUUGGAUCUAUAAAUUUCCCUUUUCAACAUAAAAAUUUUCGAUCUGGUAAAAAUGAAAUUAGUACUAUAUCAAUCAAAUGUAUUGUAGACACCAGACGAAGCAAUGGUUUAUCCAAACUUGAACAAAUAAUGCAAUAUAUUUCUUAAUCCGUUUGUGAGAAAGCGUGAAAAGAGCCAAGACACUUGAAUUUUGGGCUUCAACAAUCAUAAUUAUACGAAUUGUAUAUACGAAUUCGAAUUUGCCAAUAAAUUGGCUAUCGUCUUUUCCAUAUAAAUUAUUGCAAUAUUCAAAUUGCAAUAUCAAUGAAUUGCAAAAAUUCAACUAAGUAAAAAGGAUACUAUGGAAUAACCUACUCAAAAAAAGGAUAUUCUCAAAUAAUAAUAAGAAAAUAGUAUUCAUUUCUAUUCAUCUUAAUAUUUCAUAUUAUUAUUAUAUGUGUCCCUUUGUUUAGAAGAUUCUAUGUCUAAUUAUUCAAAAAAUUAGAUUGAUUGAUACGAGUUGAUUUCCUGUUACGGUGGAUGGAAGAAAGAAUGGAUAAUCCAAUAGCUGCUUCAGCAGCCGCAAGGGCUAUAACAAAAAUUGCGAAAAUGUCUCCUUUUAAUUGGCGACUAUCAAAUAGAUCAGAAAAUGUUACGAGAUUUAGAUUAAUUGAAUUCAGUAUAAGUUCAAGGCAUAUUAGAGCUCUAACCAUGUUUCGGCUUGUGAUCAAGCCAUAGAUACCAAUCGAAAAUAAAUAGACACUCAAAAAAAGUACAUGCUCAAACAUCAUUAACUAACUCCUUAUCAAUCUCGAUUCAUUUCAAUAUGAGGACAAGAAUUGAACCGAUUGAAUUAAUUAGAAUAGAACAAUUACACAACAAAAGAGAAAAGAAGGUAUUUGUUGGCAGUAGAUAGGUUUUACUAAAUCAAAAUUGUGGUUCUUUAGUUAUUUAUUUUAGAUUUGCAAUUCUAAGAAUUUAGACUCAUUCUAAGUAUUUCUUAUUGCCGAGCCAUAGUAAUUGCACCUAUUAAAGAAACUAGAAGAAUUAUGGAAAUGAGUUCAAAUGGAAGAUAAAAAUCGGUUGCUAAAUGAAUCCCAAUUUGUUGAACGUUAUUUAUGAGACCUUGUUCUACUAUUUGGUUUGAUCUUGUAGUCCAAAGAAUUCCAUACCACGACGUAUCUGGGAUAGUAGUCAUUAGUGAAAAAGGAAUAGUUAUACAAACGAGUGAAGUGAAUCCAUCUCCAAUAGUCCAAAAAUUCUUAUCUUUAGACCAUUCUGAGCCAUUUACGAACAUUACGGCAAAUAUGAUCAAGACAUUUAUAGCUCCCACAUAAAUAAGAAGUUGUGCCACAGCUACAAAGUAGGAAUUCAAUAAAAUAUAGAAUAAGGAUAUACAAACAAGAACUAAUCCUAGCGAAAAAGCAGAAAAAGUUGGGUUGGUAAGUAAUACCACCCCUAGACCCCCUAGUAGAAGAACAAAUCCCCCAAAUAGCACAAGAAUUUCAUGUAUUGGCCCAGGUAAAUCCAUUAUGGAUAAGAAGAAAUUAAUAGUAUAAAAUUUUUCAUGAACUGACUAAAACUAAAAGAUUCAAGGAAGAAAAAGGGAUUAGGAUAUUUUUUUGUAUAUUGUAUAUUAAGUUCUUUCUUUUUGUAUAUUGUAUAUAAGUUCUUUCUUUUCUUUUUCUAUAGUUAGAAAUCACAUCACGAAAAUCUACUUUGAUUUUAAAUCAGGAAUAAUUUGCAAUAAGCAGUAGGUAUUCGUUUUUCUUUCUAGGCAGUAGGUAUUCGUUUUUCUUUCUAGGCAGUAGGUAUUCGUUUUUCUUUCUAGGCAGUAGGUAUUCGUUUUUCUUUCUAGGCAGUAGGUAUUCGUUUUUCUUUCUAGGCAGUAGGUAUUCGUUUUUCUUUCUAGGCAGUAGGUAUUCGUUUUUCUUUCUAGGCAGUAGGUAUUCGUUUUUCUUUCUAGGCAGUAGGUAUUCGUUUUUCUUUCUAGGCAGUAGGUAUUCGUUUUUCUUUCUAGGCAGUAGGUAUUCGUUUUUCUUUCUAGGCAGUAGGUAUUCGUUUUUCUUUCUAGGCAGUAGGUAUUCGUUUUUCUUUCUAGGCAGUAGGUAUUCGUUUUUCUUUCUAGGCAGUAGGUAUUCGUUUUUCUUUCUAGUUAGUAAAGAACUUUUGGAAUCUAACAAAAAAAUUCUAGUAACUAGUAAUCAGUAAUCGUUCUUGAAUUCCAAGAUUUUUCUUCGUCUAUUUUACUUUGAGUUGAAUUCCUAAUUGUUUGAAUUGUGUAAUCUCCCAUUAUGGAGAUUGGUAACCGACUCAAAGCAAUUUGAUUGUAAUUCAAUUCAUGACGAUCAUAAGUAGAAAGUUCAUAUUCUUCAGUCAUUGAUAAACAGUUUGUCGGACAGUACUCAACACAAUUACCACAAAAUAUACAAACUCCGAAAUCAAUACUAUAAUUAAGCAAUUGUUUCCUUUUAAUAUCCUUUUCAAAUCUCCAAUCCACAAGGGGUAGAUCUAUAGGGCAUACGCGAACACAUACUUCACAAGCAAUACAUUUAUCAAAUUCAAAGUGGAUUCGCCCCCGGAAACGCUCCGAUGUAAUUGAUUUUUCAUAGGGGUAGUGAAUCGUUAUAGGUAAACGAUUUGUGUGGGAUAAGGUAA